rnacentral:rRNA from 1 species
AUUGAACGCUGGCGGCAGGCCUAACACAUGCAAGUCGAACGAGUGGCGGACGGGUGAGUAAUGUCUGGGAAACUGCCUGAUGGAGGGGGAUAACUACUGGAAACGGUAGCUAAUACCGCAUACCAUCCGAUUUGCCCAGCUGGGAUGAGCUUGUUGGGGGGGUAACGGCUCACCAGGGGGACGAUCCCUAGCUGGUCUGAGAGGAUGACCAGCCAAACUGGAACUGAGACACGGGCCAGACUCCGACGGGAGGCAGCAGUGGGGAAUAUUGCACAAUGGGCGCAAGCCUGAUGCAGGCAUGCCGCGUGUAUGAAGAAGGCAUUCGGGUUGUAAAGUACUUGCAGCGGGGAGGCGUUACCCGCAGAAGAAGCCCCGGCUAACUCCGUGCCAGCAGCCGCGGUAAUUC